AUCAGACUGCUGCUUAUAUACAGAGUGAAUGGAGUUUCGAACCUCUCACUUCCAGCCCAAGGCAAUCGAACGGGAGAACAUUCCGGUCCUCUCCUCCCAUCCUCUCUCUAUGGACCUAGCCGGCAGCUAGACACACACACACACACACACACACACACUCAUCUUCCGAUGAUGAAGGUGCCACUUGCUUGCCUGCUUUUCAUCUGCUUUCCUUUUGAUGGGAUGUGUUCAGAUGCUGACCAGGAGCAGAGGGCAAGAGAGGAAGAUUUGCUGAGUGGUCUCUUUAACGCAAAGGCGGGUGUGUACCUCUGGAUGGCAGCGCUGCGGACCGUGUGUGGGCGGAGCCCCUGGCCAGACCGGCAGGCGCAGGAGGUGUGGCCUCGGUACAGGGUGAGCCACCCCAGCACCCAGCUCCAGGGGAUACAGAGGCUUUCCCACCCCCAAAAACCCUGCAGGCUACUGUACCUGUGGGAGACUGCACAAAAGGAGCACGCAGGUGCAAAUCAUGUAGAAAAGAAGAGAAAUCACAAAGGGAAAUCACCGUACACACCGCGAAGGCGGUUUCACGCCAACGCAGCAAGGAAGCCAUAUCUGCUCAAGCGGAGAGGAACGGACUGAUCCCCUCCCCAAAAACACUGCGUAGGGGAGGCCAUGUAAAUACUGCGAAUGUCUGCGUUUGUGCUAGCUCUGUAAACUCUGCAAAUGUUAGUUCUGUUAAAAAAUAAUAUAUAUAUAUAUAUAAAAUGUACAAAGUUACAGGUUGGCGGUGCAUACCCCAUACCUGCAGAAGCUGAGUAAUUGGCACUUUUCUGAGUUUCCCACAGAAAUAACAGUAAUAGCUUCAGACUCACUCCUCAUAUACUAUUUGACCUCUGACCCCAUGUGAAGACAAGGAAUUCAGAUACAGCUAACAGCCACACAAGUGGUGGAGGAAAAAACAGUUGGA